ensembl:lncRNA
AUAUUCUAAUACCAUUUAAUGUGAGACAAAAGACUCAAGAUGGAAAAAGAAAGGAGGCCAUUAAAAAAAUCACUUUUUUUUUUCUUUUAGGAGAGUUCUGAUUAAGUAAUAAUUCUCAUGACACAACAGAUUCUAAAUUUUCUUGAAAAUUUUCAAUCUUCACCUCAGAAAACCCAAGGCUAGAGAGAUGCUUGGAUCCUCUGCAAAAAUCAGUUAUCUUCACCCUUGUCUGUACACAGAAAGCAUGAAGCACAGAGACAUCUGACGCUCAUUGCUCUAACCUGAUCAAUAAAUAAAACGCUGUCCCUAUGGUUAUUUUUAAAAGUGGUAAUUUUAGAAGGGAGGAGGAGAGAGAGGAGUGGGAUACAUUAUGGCAGAUUUUUGUCAGUGGUCAUCGAUUGGUUGGCAUGUAUCAGUAGGCAGACAAGUGCUUGUUAAGUGUCAUUUUGCAUAUGGCUGUUAUUGUCUUAUCCAGAUGCCUACACAGUCUUCCAGUUAGAGAGAAGCCAUUCUUCCACUGUCAUAGAUCUGAACCAUAACUUGAAAAAAGGCUGCACUUUGCACUCUGUAGUCUUGAAGGCUUUAGUUAAAAAAUAUAGGACAAGAAUAAUAUUCUACAGCAACUGAAGAGUUAGUAGUAAACAUGCAAACUUUUGAUCUUUUCCUAUUGGAAAUCAGGUUAUAAAGAAGUUCUGCAGCACAAAACUAUAGGGGUGGUGGAAGCCACUUCAGGAUGUUGAGAUACACAAUCUACUCAAGCAGGAAACACACACAGAUAGAGGUGGACAAUCAACCCGAGAUACAAUGAUGACAAGCUGCUGACAUUUCAGAAUCUCUCUUUGAACAGCAGGUGCUGGCUCUGUACACACAAUGCUAGUGGGGAGGAAAGCUUUUCAGAAGUCUUUGCCCUGAAUCCCAGAACGAUGAUGACAGCACUGCAGGAGACAGGCUGUGAGCUUGUACAUAACUUGGUGCCAACUGUGACAAAGAACAGAAUCCUGCCCCAAACCAAACACCUUUCUCAAAACCCACUUCAGAGCAUUUUAGAUGAGGGGAAAGGAGGCAUUCAUCAUUACUGUAAGCAGAAAGACUGCAACACACCUUUGAGGAAAGGACCACCUGGCCAGCACACAGUCCAGAAGGAAAACUAGACCACCAGAGUUUCUGGCAUGACAACAGAUUUAGAAGGGCCUCUUGGGUCAUCCAAGACCGUGCUAUCACUUGCACCCACAACAUAUUACUCCUUUCCUAAGUGCCAAACUGCCCCCUCUGUUUACACAACAAAGCCAUUUUUUGUGUCGGCACUAUACUGCUUUUUUAUUAAAGUAAGGAAAUGGGACUGACUGUUCUGCUUUCAGCAAUCUCUGCUUUAACAGCAGUGGGAGCUGUCUUUAUAGCCACAAUAAUAAAACCCCUCUUUGCAGCUCCACUGAACAGCCCCUUGUCAGAGCUUUUUGGAGCAGGGGUAUAGGACAGGGAAAAUGUCAUUUCCAGGAAAAAAGGAAGAAGAGGGUGCUACCUAGACUAAACACCUUAUUCCUCUGUGCAGUUUUAUGCUAGCCCUGCUUUCCUAGGGGUUCCCCGGUGUUGGCAGGAAAACAAACCCAAGCCUGUGAAGAAGAAACACUGUCAUACAGGGGCGUGUUUGAAGGACAAAUGCAUAUUGCUCAGCUCAAGAUUCAUCAGACAGAACCUUUAUGGGCUUCUCAUAAGUACAAGAGGAGAGUUCACCCACUGGCUUAUGCCGCCACUGUGAGGGUACUGUAGGUGGACAGUACCAGUCAUGCUGGAGCCCUGGGAGCUUGCUCCCACACAAUGUCAAGAGUCCUCAGCUCUCACACUAAGCCCGGUGGAAUUCCUCCUUCUCCUCUUGUUUCUCCUUUACCUUUGAUAUGCCUUCUCUUCACUUUCACGGGCCCACACAACAGCAUUAGAAAUGUUUCUCCUGUGCACACAGACACACAAGGACAUGCCUUUCUUCAUCUAUUUUGAUCUUACUGUAUCUGCCUCAUCCCUACAUCUCCCAUGGUCAGACCAUAAAAUACUGAGGAACACAAAUCAGCCUUUGAUCUCACCACUUUCUUCCAGAGUCGGAGCACUCUUCACUCUUUUGAGCAAGGGCAUCUGCAUUUUCAUAUAUGUAUAUGACCACAAAUGUACACAAAGGCUUCAACCUUCUCUUGAAUGCAGCCAGCCCCUGUGGCAUGAGGAGCUGCCAGUGUGUAGGGCCUGUACCACACAAUCUAGGUGAAGAUCUGUCUCAUUAUCUGUUAGUGUGCUUAAUCGUCUCUUUUAUAGAGUUACUCCAUCCUCAGUGUCUACUCUCUGUCCUCCAACACCAUUUAGUGGACCCAAGCCAGCAGUCCAAGAACUCUUGCUCCCUUUACACCUUGAGCAAAGCACAGUUACAAGGCACAACAAUUAAUACGCAGAUCCAUCGCCCCAGACAGCAGAGAGGGCUAGCCCUCUUUUUGUAUGCAAUCUGCCUCUCACUGAAAUCCAUUCUAAUCAAGAAAUCUUUACACAAGAAAGAAGAAAAACCCCCAAAACCAAAUCGUGAAAGGUGACCCUCAUUUUAGUAAAAU